CUGGCUCAGGACGAACGCUGGCGGCGUGCCUAAUACAUGCAAGUCGAGCGGAUCAAAGGGAGCUUGCUCCCAGAGAUUAGCGGCGGACGGGUGAGUAACACGUGGGCAACCUGCCCUGUAGACUGGGAUAACAUCGAGAAAUCGAUGC
rnacentral:rRNA from 1 species